GGGAACACGGAGCGCCAGGAGGAAGAGGAGGAAGGAGGGAGGAGCAUCACGAGCUUCCUGCCCGCGCUCCCGGCCCGCUGCGAGCAGGCGCCCUGGCCGCGUCGGCGUCUUCUUUCCAGCCCUCCGCCGCCGCCAAGGCACAGGCUCGCGUCUGGUCUGGGCGAACGGCCGGGCCCUUGGCGGGCGCCCUUCCCCCUCCUCGCCACGCUGCCGGUUUCGCCCUCCGCCCCGCCGCGCCUUCCCCGCCUCGGACGGGCGGGGCCCCAGCCGAGCAUCUGGUGGACUGUUUUUACUUAAUUGGUCAUUGUUAACAAGCAUGGAGAUAAGAUUAGAAGUUUUAACCUCAACAAGCAUCAAGCAGAAAAAGCCCUGGCCACGAGUCUCCUGGUUGGGACAGGUAGGUUUUUCUUUCUUCAUACAGUACCAGCUGUAAUAAUGUGUUAAAUGUAUACUUUGCCUCUAAGCUAGAAUGUUCUAUGGUCUUAAACCACCAUCUUUAGAAGGAUCACGUGCUCACAGAACAGGAUUUUUGUGUUUGUUUUUGUUUUUUUACGGGAGCAAGUUAGCUUUUCCAGAAAGUUAAAUGGUCUAAAAGAAGUAUUUUACUUUCAAAAAAUUUUUUGUCUUAUUACGUUUAAGGUUGAGAUGGCAUAUA
rnacentral:lncRNA from 1 species